GUGUCUCUUCCCCGUGGUCAAAACUGGGUGAACCGACAAGUUUUACAAGGGAGCCUGAUUCCCGUGUUAGUACAGGGAUUCUCCGUUGUCGAGAAAGCUGGAAGAGACGGGUGCGGCACCCACCUUAUGAAGGUGGGUUCAUAAUAUGACCACGGGGAAGGUCUUUU
rnacentral:sRNA from 1 species